UCUAAAUAUAAUGCCUUAUGAUAAUGUAUAAACAAGGUUUGAAUACAGAUGUUUUAUUGGCUUUGCUUUAUCUAAGUUGAAGGAACUUAAGUUCAUGAUCUAAUAUUUCCACAACUGAAAAAUACAUUAAUGUACGAAAUAGGCUGAAAAAUAAAUUCAACAUUCAAAAUAUAAACAGAGAGAGAGAGGUGUGUACCUUUCGCUGUAUACACGUUGUAUACACAGUGUAUACACAGUGUAGAGUUUAAUCCCUAUUUAAGGCAUUAGAGUAUUCUUGACUGGUGAUGCAGGGGAAACAUGCAGUCUUGAUGACCCUCGUGAAGUAGUUAAAUUUUAAACCCAAUUAACCAAUUAAUUAAAUGCAGGAAAAUAUGGAUACCUUUGAUUAUAAGCUGAUAUCCGAUAGUAGAUGUAUUUUUUAUUUUUAUUUGAGUUCUUUGUGCAGUAUCAGAUGUAGUUUACGUGUGAAAAAAAUAUUAUUAAGCAUAAAAUAAGGCCACUAACAUGCAUGCGCAUGUCGGGCAGUGUAUGUUUUAUACAUAAUGUAUGUUGUUAUACAUGAUGUAUGUUGUUAUACAUGAUGUAUGUUGUUUUAUAUGAUGUAUGUUGUUUUACAUAUUGUUUAGUAUGUUGUUUUACAUGAUGUAUAAUUUACAAGGUGUGUCUCGUUGCACAUUGCCUAAUUCGCUUUACAGAUAAAUGAAUGUCCAUUAAGUCGUGUUGACGUGUAUGAGUGAUGGUAAUGACGUGAGUGAGAGUAACGAGAUGUGUUUAGUGCCACGGUUUUGAAGUUACAAGGUCAACACUGAAGUCAACACGAGGAGUGUGCAUUGUUUCUAAGCUGCUAGAUGUCACAAGGUCAGUACUGAGGUCAGAGAGGAGUGUGUCGUGUUUUGAAGUCGCUAGAUGUCACCUGGAUAUCACAGUAUCGAUACAGACGUCAAAGUAAUUUUUUUUAGGUAUUUGUAUGCAUCUUUGUACUAGUGUUUUGUAAUUUUAUUCUUUAUCUUCGUCUCAUGAAAUAGUUCUCUCUGUUAAUCAGAUAAACUGAGUGACAUGUAACACUAGGGUGUAUAUAACAUAGAAGGUCUGUGGAGAGUACCUUGUUGACAUGACCUUAAGUAAGACUUUUAACAGAGUGCCACACAAACGAAUGAUGAAGAGAGUGGCACUUACUAGUGAAGUGGCACUACACUAUACUGGUGGAGAGUGGCACUACACUAUACUGGAGGAGAGUGGCACUACACUAUACUGGUGGAGAGUGGCACUACACUAUACUGGUGGAGAGUGGCACUACACUAUACUAGAGGAGAGUGGCACUACACUAUACUGGUGGAGUGGCACUACACUAUACUGGAGGAGAGUGGCACUACACUAUACUGGAGGAGUGGCACUACACUAUACUGGUGGAGAGUGGCACUACACUAUACUGGAGGAGAGUGGCACUACACUAUACUAGAGGAGAGUGGCACUACACUAUACUGGUGGAGAGUGGCACUACACUAUACUAGAGGAGAGUGGCACUACACUAUACUGGUGGAGUGGCACUACACUAUACUGGAGGAGAGUGGCACUACACUAUACUGGAGGAGUGGCACUACACUAUACUGGUGGAGAGUGACUCUACACUAUAAUGGUGGAGAGUGGCGCUACACUAUACUGGUGGAGAGUGGCACUACACUAUACUGGUGGAGAGUGGCACUACACUAUACUGGUGGAGAGUGGCACUACACUGUACUGGAGGAGUGGCACUACACUAUACUGGUGGAGAGUGGCACUAUACUAUACUGGUGGAGUGGCACUACACUAUACUGGUGGAGAGUGGCACUACACUAUACUGGUGGAGAGUGGCACUACACUAUACUGGUGGAGAGUGGCACUACACUAUACUGGUGGAGAGUGGCACUACACUAUACUGGUGGAGAGUGGCACUACACUAUACUGGUGGAGAGUGGCACUACAUUGUACUGGAGUAGAAGUUCUGUUGGCUGAAACAUGACUGACUAAUAGGAAACAGAAAGUCUCCAAGAAUCGGAAGAAUUCAGAUAAGUGAGGAGUGACAAGUGGAGCGCCGCCACGAAGGUCAUUACUAGGCUCCUCGUUUCCAAUUUUCACGAACCUUCUGAACGUGGGAAUACAGAGUGACAUGAACCAGUUCCUUGACAAAACAAUAACGACAGAUAAAUUAUAGAGCGGACUGCACGGAGCCUCAAGAGAGUUUAGAUACCUUAAUAUGAUCAGAAUACUCGUAGAUUGCAGUUCAUUAUGAAGAAUGUGAAAUCUUAAUUUUUUUCUUGGGGGGGGGGGGAGAAAAUAACAGCAAAACAAAUAAGCUAUAGGAUCCAGCGGGGCCGCAUGCGGCAGAGUUCUAGCUAACAAAUCUGAAGUCAGAUUAAAAAUAUGCAUAAGAGUUUGCAAUAAAGGUAUUAAACCGCUUGGCUUCAUAAUAAGUUUAGUACCAGAACUCCCAAGAUUUUAGCACAGCUUUAUACAUCGCUGAUAAAGCCUCAGGUAAAGUUAGCGACCCAGUAUAACUUUACACAUUGUAGAAUAGAUAACAAACAAGAGAAGUAUUGUAAAGGUAAUCCCGUCUUUCAGAAAUUUUCCAAAGAACAGAAGCACUGAAAUUCUUGCACUUCAACAUCUAAGUGGUGUGCGAUAACUAGAGCAAGAUUCAUGCAGCUAUUGGUAUAUGCAGGUGCACUUUGACGAAAGAUAUAGAACCUUUUCAAAGAUCCCUGAAGUGGGUCUGAUAACCUUAAAAAUUCUCUGCUGCUUGGCUUUAAACAUUCAAAAAUGAUAACAUCUACUACGAGGACAGCGACGAGUGAAACUAAGUUGUGAGGCUGCGCAGAGACCAAUUGUAUCUGCCAGGUAGUGUUCAAUUUUUAUUCCCAUUAAUCAUGUUAAGUAUUGCUGAUUUUUCUUCUUAAUGGUAAUAAUGUUGGUAGAAUUACGGACAAUAUGAAGGUAAAAGGACACAAGUGCAACUAAUGUGACAUUUUAUUGUAGCAACAUUUCCCUCUCCAGGAGCUCCGUCAAGCCGUUACAAACAUUACAUGGACACAGAGGGGUGUAUAUAUAUAAUAUAUAUAUAUAUAUAUAUAUAUAUAUAUAUAUAUGUAUAUAUAUAUAUAUAUAUAUAUAUAUAUAUAUAUAUAUAUAUAUAUA